rnacentral:rRNA from 1 species
GUAGUCAUAUGCUUGUCUCAAAGAUUAAGCCAUGCAUGUCUAAGUAUAAGCAAUUAUACCGCGAAACUGCGAAUGGCUCAUUAAAUCAGUUAUCGUUUAUUUGAUAGUACCUUACUACUUGGAUAACCGUGGUAAUUCUAGAGCUAAUACAUGCUAAAAACCCCAACUCACGAAGGGGUGUAUUUAUUAGAUUAAAAACCAAUGCCCUUCGGGGCUCUUUGGUGAUUCAUAAUAACUUUUCGAAUCGCAUAGCCUUGCGCCGGCGAUGGUUCAUUCAAAUUUCUGCCCUAUCAACUUUCGAUGGCAGGGUCUUGGCCUGCCAUGGUUACAACGGGUAACGGGGAAUGA